GGGAUAAACAAUCGUUGGACAGUAAUUCCCUCUUCUCUUUCCCACUCCUACCUCUCCUUCCUUUUGAAUACUCAACUCAUCUACCACCAUCACCAUUACCAAAUGAUUUUCCGCCGCUCUAGAGUAAACCAACCUCUUUUCUCCACCGCCAUCUCCUCCUUUGAAUCAACAACAAUGAUAGUGCGUAUAUAGGUGACUAAGGUAACAUGUCCUUAACACUAAAGCAUCAAAUAUUAAUCUUUCAAUUACUUUUUGGUACACCUAAUAAUUAUAUGUAUUCGUCCAAAAUAUUAAAUGAUGAACAGGAUUUUUCUAAAGAAAUAGUGAACUAAGGAUGUAUGUUAAUAUUGCAGAUGAUAAGAUUAUUAAAUAUUAAAAUGAAACAGAAAGAAUGGGGAUUUGGAAACCUGUAAAAAAUUGACUCGUCUCAAGGUGGUUAGGGCAGUUGGCCAGACGUUGAUUGAUAUUUUAGGAGAAUAUUAAAACAUUUUAGUAUUAGAGGAGAGCUUUGUUUGGAAAUAAAUAAUAAACAAUUUUUGUUCUCCUUUCUCCUCACACUUCAUUCGCUUCCUAUUUCUUCUUCGUAUCUUAAUUUGCUUUUCCAAUAUGAGUAUUUGAAAGUUGUACAACUUACAUUUUCUGCUUGUGAAGUACUUCUCCAGUUGUUUGGCUUCUGAGAUAGGAUUGGAAAUUCUUGCUUCCUUCCUUCGAGCUGUGAAGUUAGGCACUGCCUUGGAAGUCAUACUUUUCAGUUUGUUUCUAGUUUUAGGGGUUAUAUAAUUGUGUUCCAGAAAUUGUUUUUUGAGGUAAAUAUUUUAUCAAUUACAACUCUCAUAUACCCAUCUUUAAAAACCAAAUAAUGAUCUGAAAAAUAAAAAAUAUAAGUAAAAGAAGAAAAGCCAAAGUACGACAGAUCAACUGCAAGGGGAACGAAAAAACUCCGAAUGAACUGUGAGGAGAAAGGUGAAAAAAAAGGUCAUUUAUUUUUUACUUCAUUGUGCCACAUAACAAAUAGUUAUUGGUGGCUACAGAUAUCUAUAUAUAUUUUUAUUUUUAAAAAAUUAAAUCAAUUUUUUAUUAUUUUUAAUAGGUCAAAAUAUAAUUUUACUUUUAUUAAUUUAAAUUUUAUAAACUUUAAAGAGC
rnacentral:lncRNA from 1 species